rnacentral:rRNA from 1 species
AUUGAACGCUGGCGGCAGGCCUAACACAUGCAAGUCGAACGGUAACAGGAAACAGCUUGCUGUUUCGCUGACGAGUGGCGGACGGGUGAGUAAUGUCUGGGAAACUGCCUGAUGGAGGGGGAUAACUACUGGAAACGGUAGCUAAUACCGCAUAACGUCGCAAUACCAAAGAGGGGGACCUUCGGGCCUCUUGCCAUCGGAUGUGCCCAGAUGGGAUUAGCUAGUAGGUGGGGUAACGGCUCACCUAGGCGACGAUCCCUAGCUGGUCUGAGAGGAUGACCAGCCACACUGGAACUGAGACACGGUCCAGACUCCUACGGGAGGCAGCAGUGGGGAAUAUUGCACAAUGGGCGCAAGCCUGAUGCAGCCAUGCCGCGUGUAUGAAGAAGGCCUUCGGGUUGUAAAGUACUUUCAGCGGGGAGGAAGGGAGUAAAGUUAAUACCUUUACUCAUUGACGUUACCCGCAGAAGAAGCACCGGCUAACUCCGUG